UCAGACUCACAAGUAUCAGGCGAUGUGAGACUCGGACCUAAUACCAACUGUGACGCCCCAACUUUUCAGGGGGUCACCUAUUCUUGGAUUACUCCCGUCCUAGCACACCUAACUCUCUUAACCUUUUGGGCCUUGCCAUCAUUUAAAAUAUUUAAGCCGGAUUAAGAGUUUUAAUUCUAUUAAAUUUUAUAUAUAGAACUAUUUGGGAUCUCACAGAUUUGAACUUGAAAAAUUUUCUAUCAUUAAAUGAUCGAUAUUUGUAAUUAAAUCAAAUAUUGAGUAAAUUUUUAUGAACACCUUGUAUGUGCAGAAACGCCUUACUUAGAAGCAAAACAACAAUCCAAACCUGGAUAAACAUUGAACAACUUUAACUAGGAAUAAUGUAAGGAGUAAAAUUUUCUAUUAAUUAGUUUCUAAAUAAUUAUAAAACGUUGGUAACUAAUAACUAAUUAAAUUAAUUAACAACACCAUGUGACUUAUUAAAUUAAUAUAUAAUUAAUUAAAUAAUCGAACAAUUAAUUUAUUAUUAUCUAUAAUCAAUUAGCUAAUUAAAUUAUAAACUAAUUUAAUAUGUUUAUUCAAAUAAUAAAUAAUAUUUAUAUUAAUUAAGUAAUUAAUAUUUUAACUUAUCUAAAUAAAUUAUUAACUAAGUAUUUGACUUUCAAAUAACUAAUUAAUUAGUUGACAUAUUUAAUUUAUUUUUUUUAACUAAUUAACUAAUUAAUAAUUAACAUGCCUCUCCAUCAUCUUAUACAAUAUUCCUUGUUAAUUAAUUAAUUAACUUGUUAAAUAUUACUCUAUUAAUGUUUUUAUGCUUAUUAUUUAAAUAAAAUAUUAUUAUUUUAAAUUUAUAAUUAAUCUUAUUCUUAUAAUUCCAAUCUAGCCAUCGUAACGCAAUAUUUCUAUUCCCUCUGAGUAACCCAAUUCUCAUCUAAAUACAAAAUUAUUCUAAACUCUACGAAUUUCACAUGUAAUACUUAUCUCACGAAUAAACAAAAAUAGUUUAAUUCUGAAUCAUGUGGACUCGGCCUAAUGGAUGGUGUAUGGGCCGGACUUUGGGCAUUGAAAUUAUAACUUUGGAUCCGAAAUGGAUUUAAAUAUUUAGGCUCAAAAAAAAUUUGGCCCUGUUUAGACUUGUCUAAGCAUGGGCUGACCCGACCUGAUUCGUAUUUAGUCAUAUAUAUAGCAUUGGAUGCUAUAAUAUAUUAUAAAUAGUAUAGUAUUAUUAAGAAUAUAUUAUAUAUGAGAAUAAAUUUUUAUAUAUAACUAAAUAUUAUACAGAAUUGAGCUCCUAUAUUUUUAAAAGUUUUGUUUGUGCUUAUAGAUUUUCGGUCCUUGGAUUAAGGAAUAUGUGGUUGGGAUGAUAGUGGUCCCCAGGGGUUGAGCGAGUGUAUGAAAAUGAUCAAAAGGGUAAAUCUAACGACGGAAAACUUAUAAACACCAAGUGCUUUGUGCUUUUACAAGCAUCAUAGCCAGACUCAUGUUAUAUAUAAUAUAUUAUAUUAUUAUUUAUUUAU
rnacentral:lncRNA from 1 species